rnacentral:rRNA from 1 species
GAUGAACGCUAGCGAUAGGCUUAACACAUGCAAGUCGAGGGGCAGCACAAGGUAGCUUGCUAUCUGGGUGGCGACCGGCGCACGGGUGCGUAACGCGUAUGCAACUUGCCCUAUACAGGAGGAUAACCCGUCGAAAGACGGACUAAUACUGCGUAUGCUCACAACUUGGCAUCAAGUGGUGAGGAAAGAAAUUCGGUAUAGGAUAGGCAUGCGUCCCAUUAGCUUGUUGGUGAGGUAACGGCUCACCAAGGCAACGAUGGGUAGGGGAACUGAGAGGUUUAUCCCCCACACUGGUACUGAGACACGGACCAGACUCCUACGGGAGGCAGCAGUGAGGAAUAUUGGCCAAUGGGCGCGAGCCUGAACCAGCCAAGUCGCGUGAAGGAUGACUGUCUUAUGGAUUGUAAACUUCUUUUAUACGGGAAUAACAAGAGUCACGUGUGACUCCCUGCAUGUACCGUAUGAAUAAGCAUCGGCUAACUCCGUG